rnacentral:rRNA from 1 species
GAUGAACGCUAGCGGCAGGCCUAACACAAGCAAGUCGAGGGGUAGAGGAAGCUUGCUUCCUUGAGACCGGAGCACGGGUGCGUAACGCGUAUGCAAUCUACAUUUUACAGAGGGAUAGCCCAGAGAAAUCUUGAUUAAUACCUCAUAGUAUUUUCGAAUGGCAUCAUUUGAUUAUUAAAGUUCCAACGGUAAAAGAUGAGCAUGCGUCCUAUUAGCUAGAUGGUAAGGUAACGGCUAACCAUGGCAACGAUAGGUAGGGGUCCUGAGAGGGAGAUCCCCCACACUGGUACUGAGACACGGACCAGACGCCUACGGGAGGCAGCAGUGAGGAAUAUUGUACAAUGGGCGCAAGCCUGAUCCAGCCAUGCCGCGUGCAGGAAGACGCAUCUAUGGUGUGUAAACUGCUUUUGUACGGGAAGAAACACUCCCUCGUGAGGGUGCUUGACGGUACCGUAAGAAUAAGGAUCGGCUAACUCCGUGCCAGCAGCCGCGGUAAAAC